GCCACAGUUAUGCAUGAUGGAGACCAGCAGUCCUGGGAGUGGCCGAGUACCUACCUGUCCAUGGAAGGGCUACCAGCAUGCUCUUCAUACUGAAACUGGAGAGGAAGCACAGGUAACAUUCCUUUAUGAGACCACACAGAAGGACCCCGGC